CUAAAGCAUUUAUCCAUCAAUUUCAUUCCGUGUACUUUUUCAUUUAAGUAGCUAUUCGAAACAUGCCAUUUUUGGCUUUGAGCAAGCCAUGUUUACACAAUAUUGUGUCAGAAGCCGUCGUUCUGCGGUCAAAAUGCAAUUGUAUUCAUCUGCUGUCCCGGCCUUAAAGUAUGAUGAAGCCAUCUCGUUUUUUACCCAGCGCGAGGACACGCGGCGUGUGCACAAUUAAUCAAACAACUGGCAAAAAACGGAGAGCAAAAACGAGGAAUAUUCAAUUAUUCAUACCCACUGUUAGCCCGAAUGUGUGGCACAUAACCACAAACAGGCGUCGCCAAACAUAAUGUUGAUAAGUGUAAAUGCCAUAUGUAAAUGUUGUUCGUGCCACGUCCAAUUCACUUUUUUUUGGGGGCGCUGCAAAAGUAAAGCCAGAGCGAUUGUGACAUAAAA
rnacentral:sRNA from 1 species